rnacentral:rRNA from 1 species
AUACGGAGGGAGCUAGCGUUGUUCGGAAUUACUGGGCGUAAAGGGCGCGUAGGCGGCCGAUCCAGUCAGGCGUGAAAGCCGCGGGCUCAACCUGGGAAUUGCGUUUGAAACUGAUCGGCUCGAGUCCCGGAGAGGGUGGUGGAAUUCCUGGUGUAGAGGUGAAAUUCGUAGAUAUCAGGAGGAACACCGGUGGCGAAGGCGACCACCUGGACGGAGACUGACGCUGAGGUGCGAAAGCGUGGGGAGCAAACAGGAUUAGAAACCCCGGUAGUCC